GCGACACACUGUCUGACGGACUACCUCAACUUUUGUGUGGACACAGUCGGCCCUGCUAAGACGGUACGGUGUUAUCCUAAUAACAAACCGUGGGUAACACAGGAAGUCAAAGCUGUCCUCAACAUGAAGAAGAAGGCCUUCAGGAGCAAAGUGAAGGAGGACAUGAAAGCAGCACAGCGGGAGGUGAAACGCUGCUUGAAGGAAGCAAAGGAUGCCUACAGGAGGAAGGUGGAGCAGAAGUUGGAGAGGAACAAUAUGAGGGAGGUCUGGAAUGGUGUGAAAAUGUCAUGGUCUGGGCGGGCCUGAGUAACUUUCCUCAGCAUCAGCUCUCCUCCUUUGGGUGGAGCCCUUCCUGCCCCUCUCCGUUCCUCAGCUGCAGGCAAUUAUUCUGGCAGUAUUUAGGAGCAGCGCACACUAUGAGUCUUCGCCAGAUCGUCUGCUAACCCCAUCGGUACCUGGACUCAUCAUCCCAAAACCUGCCAUAGCCUCAUUCCUGGAUUCCGGUCAGCUGCUGCUUAAUCCUUUUCAGUCAAACUGCCACUCACACCUGCCUGCCUCCCUGCAUACCAGUAUUGGACUCAGCGCUCGCCUGGACCUCGCCUCGCCUCCACCUUCAGUUAAUCCCCGCCUGCGAACACUGCCCUGGUCUGCCAUAGCUUCCACCAGCCCCACUCCAGUUUCAGCAGUUUAGUGACCUGUCUGUUCCAUGCUCGCCCUAGCCCCGCACCUCACAGACACCACGCUUUUGCACUAAGUUUAACCUUGUUUUCUGUCUUGAAUAUUUAUGUUAGAGACACGUGUGAAUAAAAGUUUUUGUUUUCGCAAAUCACUUUGAGCUUCCGGUCUUUGGUUCUGCGCCUGAGUCCAUUCCACGUCA